UACGGAGGGGCUAGCGUUAUUCGGAAUUAUUGGGCGUAAAGGGCGCGUAGGCGGCCCGCUAAGUCGAACGUGAAAUCCCCGAGCUCAACUCGGGAACUGCGUCCGAUACUGGCGGGCUUGAAUCCGGGAGAGGGAUGCGGAAUUCCAGGUGUAGCGGUGAAAUGCGUAGAUAUCUGGAGGAACACUGGUGGCGAAGGCGGCAUCCUGGACCGGCAUUGACGCUGAGGCGCGAAAGCUAGGGGAGCAAACGGG
rnacentral:rRNA from 1 species